rnacentral:rRNA from 1 species
AAUGAACGCUGGCGGCAUGCCUAACACAUGCAAGUCGAACGAGACCUUCGGGUCUAGUGGCGCACGGGUGCGUAACGCGUGGGAAUCUGCCCCUUGGUUCGGAAUAACUCAGAGAAAUUUGAGCUAAUACCGGAUAAUGACGUAAGUCCAAAGAUUUAUCGCCUAGGGAUGAGCCCGCGUAGGAUUAGCUAGUUGGUGGGGUAAAAGCCUACCAAGGCGACGAUCCUUAGCUGGUCGAGAGGAUGAUCAGCCACACUGGGACUGAGACACGGCCCAGACUCCUACGGGAGGCAGCAGUGGGGAAUAUUGGACAAUGGGCGAAAGCCUGAUCCAGCAAUGCCGCGUGAGUGAUGAAGGCCUUAGGGUUGUAAAGCUCUUUUACCGGGAAGAUAAUGACUGUACCGGGAGAAUAAGCCCCGGCUAACUCCGUGCCAGCCGCCGCAGUAAU